UACGUAGGUGGCGAGCGUUGUCCGGAAUUACUAGGCGUAAAGGGCAGGCAGGCGGAUCCAUAAGUUUAUCGUUUAAGGCGUCGGCUUAACCGGCGUAGGGCGGUAGAUACUGUGGAUCUGGAAUGCGGUUGGGGAAGACAGAAUUCCUGGUGUAGCGGUGGAAUGCGCAGAGAUCAGGAGGAAUACCGAAGGCGAAGGCAGUCUUCCAAGCCGUUAUUGACGCUCAACUGCGAAGGUGUGGGUAUCAAACAGGAUUAGAUACCCUGGUAGUCCCU
rnacentral:rRNA from 1 species